UCCCUGGUGGACUAGUGGCUAUCAUGCAGUGCUCUCACUGCCAUGGCCCGGGUUCAAGUCACGGUCAGUAAG